rnacentral:rRNA from 1 species
GACGAACGCUGGCGGCGUGCCUAAUACAUGCAAGUAGGACGCAGUUGCGAACGGGUGAGUAACGCGUAUGUAACUGCCUAUUUGAGGGGGAUAACUAUUGGAAACGCUAGCUCAUACCGCAUACUAGUAGAUGGACCUGCGUUGUAUUAGCUAGUAGGUAGGGUAAUGGCCUACCUAGGCGAAGAUACAUGGCCGACCCGGGAGGGUUGUCGGCCAAACUUGGACCGGGGACCGGCCCAGACUCCUACGGGGGGCAACAGGAGGUGAACUUCGGCAAAUGGGGGAACGCUGACCGAGGAACGCCGGGUGAGUGAAGAAAGUUUUCGGAUCGGAAAGCUCCGUUGUUAAGGAAGCGGUACCUAACCAGAAAGGGACGGCUAACUACGUGCCAGCAGCCGCGGUAAUAC